GCCUUCGUGGUGUAGUGGUCAGCACACUCGGCGCGUAUUCGAGAAGUCCGUGGUUCGAGUCCCGGCGAGGGCA
rnacentral:tRNA from 1 species